UGGCCGGCGGCGGGCUCGGCUGCCUUGCGGUCUUCCUGGCCGCCAGGCGCCAGCGCUAUUCGCCCGACGCCCUGAUCGUGGCGGGGCUGGUCGUC
rnacentral:tRNA from 1 species